AGCUCCCAGCCUAUCUGCGCGAGCUUCUGUGUCCUAAAUAACUUGGGAGUUACCAGUCUUCUUUAAGGAUCUGGUGUUCUAAAAGCAAAUUGCUCAAAUGUCGGUGUGCUCUCAUGAACAGAAACGAUGGCACGGUGGGUCCUGGUCUCAAGACUUCCUCUCAAUGAUUCAGAGGUCUUGGGGGUUUUUUGUCUGAAUAUCAGGCAAAGAGGAAGGACGGCUACAAUGGAGGAGUCUCCUACCACGCUUGUGGUCGUCACUGUAGUGCUCAGUUGAAUGGUGUGUCCAUUGGGGUUGGAGUCCCCAUCCUGUUCUGGGUCCUGGCCCCCCACAGGCUCCAGGGACAUAACCCUUCCAGUUCAGGAUCAUGUGCUGGGGCACUGUUCCCUGAGGUGGGACUCUGGGCUGUAACAGCUGCUUUUGAAGCAUGUUCCAGCUUCAACCACGUGCUUGGACGACACCAGCUCUUCCCACAUACUCUUCCCCAGCUCUUGUGUUGAGUUUGGCUUCCACCUUCCUCCAGCUGGGUCUCGCUAUGUUGCCCAAGCCAUUCUGGAGCUCCUGCGCUUAAGUGAUCCUCCUGCCUCAGCCUCCCAAGUAACUGGAAUUAUAAAUGUGAGCCACUGUGCCCAGCAAUUACAAAAUUUUUGGAAUGCAAUUGGGAAGUACAGCUGAAAAACUUCAGCAACGUGGGCUGUUUGAUUGUACAAUCGCACUUCUUGGAAUUUAUCCUACAGAAAUCAGUAGUCAAGUUCACAAAAACUGACAAUAGCCAUUACAGAGAAGCAGAAGAAAGGGAAAUAAAAACAUUCAAACCUACCAACAGGAGAUUGGACAAAUAAAUCAUGUUAUAACUAUACAAUGGGCUAUUAUGUAACCAUUAAAAUGAUCAUCUAUUCUA
rnacentral:lncRNA from 1 species